rnacentral:rRNA from 1 species
GGCUUAUUGAUUAUAAUUUUAAGUYUAGCCUGCCCAAUGAGAAGUUAAAUGGCCGCGGUAAAUUAACCGUGCAAAGGUAGCAUAAUCAUUAGUUUUUUAAUUGAAAGCUGGAAUGAAAGGUUGGAUAAGAAAAUUACUGUCUCUAUAAAAAUUAAUUAGAACUUUAUUUUUAAGUUAAAAAGCUUAAAUAAGUAUAGAAGACGAGAAGACCCUAUAGAGUUUUAUAUUUUUUUAACUAAAUGAAAUUUUGGUUUCUAAAAUUAUUUUAGUUAAAUAAGUAUUUUGUUGGGGUGACAAAAAAAUUAAAAAAACUUCUUUUUUAUUUAUCCAUUAAUAUAUGAGUUUAUGAUCCUAAAAUUUAGAUUAUAAGAUAAAAUUACCUUAGGGAUAACAGCGUAAUUUUUUUUAGAGUUCUUAUCGAAAAAAAAGAUUGCGACCUCGAUGUUGGAUUAAAAUUAGUUGUUGGUGAAGAUGCUUUCAAGCUAGGUCUGUUCGACCUUUAAAAUUUUACAUGAUCUGAGUUUAAACCGGUGUGAG